rnacentral:rRNA from 1 species
AUGAACGCUGGCGGCGUGCCUAAUACAUGCAAGUCGAGCGAACAGACGAGGAGCUUGCUCCUCUGACGUUAGCGGCGGACGGGUGAGUAACACGUGGAUAACCUACCUAUAAGACUGGGAUAACUUCGGGAAACCGGAGCUAAUACCGGAUAAUAUAUUGAACCGCAUGGUUCAAUAGUGAAAGACGGUUUUGCUGUCACUUAUAGAUGGAUCCGCGCCGCAUUAGCUAGUUGGUAAGGUAACGGCUUACCAAGGCAACGAUGCGUAGCCGACCUGAGAGGGUGAUCGGCCACACUGGAACUGAGACACGGUCCAGACUCCGACGGGAGGCAGCAGUAGGGAAUCUUCCGCAAUGGGCGAAAGCUUGACGGAGCAACGCCGCGUGAGUGAUGAAGGUCUUCGGAUCGUAAAACUCUGCUAUUAGGGAAGAACAAAUGUGUAAGUAACUAUGCACGUCUUGACGGUACCUAAUCAGAAAGCCACGGCUAACUACGUG